GCUUCGACUUCUCUUCAAUUGUUUUUGCUCUCACUCUUUCAUUCUUCUCACGUCGAAGUGUCCUCCUUCCAUUGAAGUCCGCAGGCCACGACUUGUGGGUCAACCGAAGGAAAUCUUCCCCUCUUCGUUGACUCCUCCUGCCGUCCAAGCCUCCACCAAGUUUUGUUGGCCAUCGAAGCCCCACGCCUCUGCCAGCGUCGCCCGAAGCUGCUUAUUCUCUUUGCCGCUUCUCCACCCACGCGGCCACGUGAUCUUUUUCCUCAGCAGCUUUCAUUUUUUGUUGACCCAGCAAGGCCACCGAAAUAGCUUGCUCUCCACGCGUCCACGCCUGCAGCUUCUCUCCACGCGGCCAGCUCCACCACGUUCCAGUCCACGGUGCAUCUUCUUGGUGGAUUUGUUGACCACCGAGUGAAACCAGCCGUCGCCCCAUCAUCCGCCCCGUUUACUGCUUCGCUCAUGCCCACACGUCCACCGAAUAAGCCAAUUCGGCUUCAUUAGUAGAGGACCGAAGCCAGCAAGCUGCAGCUCUCUCCGUCCGCUGCCACCUGACAAUUUCUUGGCUUUCUUCGGUCAACAACAGCAGGCCGGGAAUUCCAGCAGUGGCGUCCCAUUGAAUCAGCCCAGCGAGAAUCAAGCCCACGGAUUCUCCUCCAUUUUCAAUCGCAUCUCAUCUUCGGGCUUUCGGUGCAGCCCACCGAGCAGCCCAACUUCCUCAGCAACAGCUCAGCACAGCAAUUGGUCCAAUGAAGCCCAUCUCCACAGUAGAGUUCUCGGCCCAGCUCCAUUGAAGACAAGCCCAGUUCAAUUAAGUUUCAAGCCCAUCACAAUUGAAGCCCAAAAGUCCAGCAGAGUUUCAGCUCGUGAAGCCCAACUCAGUUGUGAAGCCCAGAGAUUUCUAUGGGCCCGCGAGGCAAGGUCUUUGGGCCCGGCCAGAGGGUCCAUCGACGCUGCCGAAAUUUUGGAAUUCGACCGCCGUCGCGUCGUCGUCGCAGUGCCCCGUUCUUCGCUUUGCACAAGACUCGGAUGAGGAGCUUAAGAGGAGGAACCUGACGAGGAAAACCCUGAUGAGGGACCCGAAGAGGAGUACGUGGAGGAGGACCCCGAGAAUGAUCCCGAGUACGAACCGGAUGAGGACUGAGAUCCCGUCCGGUCUUGUCAGACCUUGUCUGCAUGUGAAUAGAUGUUAGAUCAGACUUACGUCUAUAUAGUAUUGUAGAGUACUAUGAGAUGCGUGUAAAAAUGUGUGGUUGUGAAUUUUCAGUAUGAAAAGUAUGGCCUACUUUUC